CCGAUGAGGUGGAAACGGACAGAGCUGGCGUAUCUGGCCUGCAUUCAGCCGCUGCGCGUCGGGCCCCGGUUUGCCACACUCCAGAUUGGGAAGGUGGCUGGGCUGCUGGCGUGCUGGUGGUGCAUUUGCAGGUGGAGUGCGCCGAGGCGCUCGGUUCAGCGGCAUGAGCUCGGCUUUGAGGCCAGUCGCGCAAGCGGUCUGGUACCCGGGUCGGGGGAGUGUUGUUUGGGCUGGGUGUUCGCUGGGGCACAGGUUUCGGGCCCGGGUGGGUGCCGAGCUGGCGGUCGGCGGCGGUCGCGUGCGACACGUGCCAGCAGUCAGUUCGGUCCUGCUCGAGCUCUCUCGUGUCCGGCCUCGGUGUAAAAGCCGGUCAUCUGUCCGACCCGUCUUGAAACACGGACCAAGGAGUUUAGCGUGUGCGCGAGUCAUUGGGUGUUGAAAACCCAGAGGCGUAAUGAAAGUGAAGGUCUGCCUUGUGCAGCUGAUGUGUGAUCCUGGGCGCCGCGGCGCCCGGGCGCAACAUAGUCCCGUCCUGACUGCAUGCAGUGGGGCGGAGACAGAGCGUACGCGCUGAG
rnacentral:rRNA from 1 species